GAUGAACGCUAGCGGCAGGCCUAAUACAUGCAAGUCGAACGGUAACAUGAGAGCUUGCUCUUGAUGACGAGUGGCGCACGGGUGCGUAACGCGUAUGCAACCUACCCUUUACUGGGGGAUAGCCCGGAGAAAUUCGGAUUAAUACCCCAUGGUACUACAAGAUGGCAUCUGAAAGUAGUUAAAGAUUUAUUGGUAAAGGAUGGGCAUGCGUGACAUUAGUUAGUUGGUGAGGUAACGGCUCACCAAGACGAUGAUGUCUAGGGGUUCUGAGAGGAAGGUCCCCCACACUGGUACUGAGACACGGACCAGACUCCUACGGGAGGCAGCAGUAGGGAAUAUUGGGCAAUGGAGGCAACUCUGACCCAGCCAUGCCGCGUGCAGGAAGACAGCUUUCUGAGUUGUAAACUGCUUUUAUAUAGGAACAAAGAGGCCAUGCGUGGCAAGUUGCGUGUACUAUAUGAAUAAGCACCGGCUAACUCCG
rnacentral:rRNA from 1 species